AGAGUUUGAUCCUGGCUCAGAACGAACGCUGGCGGCAUGCCUAACACAUGCAAGUCGAACGAAGGCUUCGGCCUUAGUGGCGCACGGGUGAGUAACACGUGGGAAUCUGCCUUUCGGUUCGGAAUAACGUUUGGAAACGAACGCUAACACCGGAUACGCCCUUUGGGGGAAAGUUUACGCCGAGAGAGGAGCCCGCGUCCGAUUAGGUAGUUGGUGAGGUAACGGCUCACCAAGCCGACGAUCGGUAGCUGGUCUGAGAGGAUGAUCAGCCACACUGGGACUGAGACACGGCCCAGACUCCUACGGGAGGCAGCAGUGGGGAAUAUUGGACAAUGGGCGCAAGCCUGAUCCAGCAAUGCCGCGUGAGUGAUGAAGGCCUUAGGGUUGUAAAGCUCUUUCGCACGUGACGAUNAUGACGGUAACGUGAGAAGAAGCCCCGGCUAACUUCGUGCCAGCAGCCGCGGUAAUA
rnacentral:rRNA from 1 species